GAUGAACGCUGACAGAAUGCUUAACACAUGCAAGUCAACUGUGGCGGACGGGUGAGUAACGCGUAAAGAACUUGCCUCCCAGAUAGAGACAACAUUUGGAAACGAAUGAUAAUACCUGAAACUGUGAGAGAGCUUUGCGUCGCAUUAGCUAGUUGGAGAGGUAACGGCUCACCAAGGCGAGGAUGGGUAGCCGGCCUGAGAGGGUGAUCGGCCACAAGGGGACGGAGAUACGGCCCUUACUCCUACGGGAGGCAGCAGUGGGGAAUAUUGGACAAAGGACCAAAGUCUGAUCAAGCAAUUCUGUGUGAAAGAUGAAGUUUUCGGAAUGUAAAUGGCUGUAAGUGGAGAAGCGGUACCAACAGAAGAAGUGACGGCUAACUACGUGCCAGCAGCCGCGGUAAUUC
rnacentral:rRNA from 1 species